rnacentral:rRNA from 1 species
UACAGAGGUCUCAAGCGUUGUUCGGAUUCAUUGGGCGUAAAGGGUGCGUAGGUGGCGCCGUAAGUCGGGUGUGAAGUUUCGGAGCUUAACUCCGAAACUGCAUUCGAUACUGCGGUGCUUGAGGACUGGAGAGGAGACUGGAAUUCAUGGUGUAGCAGUGAAAUGCGUAGAGAUCAUGAGGAAGACCAGUGGCGAAGGCGGGUCUCUGGACAGUUCCUGACACUGAGGCACGAAGGCCAGGGGAGCAAACGGG